UUGCACUUGUGCAAAUAGCUUGUUUCUUAGUUCCUCCACUUCGGCCCAGAAACAAGACUCGGAACGUGCACCAGCUUGCACUUUAUCAAAAUGCUCUAACCAUCUCUGUGUGAACCGAUAACGCUUAGGCCUAGCCCUGAUCAAGUAAGGUCCAGUAUCUUCAUUCUUCAAGUGCCUGUAAUAGUUUGCAAUAUCCAAGGGCUCAACUUGCCUGCGAAACUGUGUCCCUAGUUCUAUCCAGUCUCUUCGUCCCUCAAAGCUAUCUGGGAGCUCAUACCUUUUCAACAUUUCAAUGAUCUCAUCCCAUAUACCUGCUAGCUCAAGCCUUUUCACAUUAGCUUUGAAGUCAUCUUCGGUGUUUUGAAUCUUGAAUGCAUCAUAAUACCCAACUUUACGGAUAUCACACUUGGUCUGGUACUCCUGUAUCUUGCUUAAUGCGUCCCUGAUGCUGCUCUUAUUUUGUUCAAUCUUUUCCUCGUUCUUCUUCUUCUGCUUCUCCCACUCUCCUGCUGCACGAAGACACAGCCUUGCUCUUGUGCUCUGAGAUUUAGAUAAUGUGAAAACGCCUAUUAGCUUGAGCAAGAUAGACAAUUCUGUUGAAAAUGAAAAAUUAACCAUAUCUAUUGCUUACCAGGCCAAGGUCAUUCAGUGCUGAAUUCAUACUUGCAACUUCACCCCUUAGAUCAACAUUUGAAGAUAAAGGAAUAUCAGUGAGAUUGUUGAGAUGAACAACAUCUUGCAUCUCUAAGCUAUCUUGCAUUUCGUUUUUAUAUAACAGAUGAUCAUUUAAGCUUCUAGCACCGACUACUGCAGCUUCUGCUUCGGAACUCAGUUGAGAGGAAUAGAACAGUAACUGCAGAACAGCAUCAGGGUUCUCAACGACAACCAGUUUCCUAUUCCCAGUGCAGAAGAUGUAAGUUCCAAAGGGUCUAUAAGGGCUGAGUUGAACAAUGUUGGAAACAGUUUCCAACAGCAAGUUUGUGCAUCCCUUCAGAUUACAUGCAGCAUAGCUUGCAACAGAGGAUGCAUUCCUCAUUACAGUCAUAAAGAAAUUCAAUGCAUUACUUGAUCGUGCAACAGCAUCGCGCUGAGAAUACUGGGACUUCGGAUUGAUGAAGGGAGAGAUUGCUUGAAGCAAUUCUUGAAUUGAUGAAAGAGGAGCAAGCAUCAUCCUGGGGACAAUGUCGUACUUCAUGACAAAAUGUAUGAAGUAACGAGCCCAGUUUUCGCGCCUGAGGGCAUGAGACCAUAUCUUGUUGCCAACAAGAGGGGAUCCAAAAGUCAUACAGUAUAGAUGGACUAACAUGUCACCUUCUGGUCUUGUGCGGCAACAUUCCAGACACCAGAGAGCUGCCAGAAUAGCUAUAGCACCACCGGACGAGUGCCCUGCAAACACUACUUGUCUUCCUUUUGACAUUGCCGUCUCCACCUAAAACCAACACAACUCCAUGAAUCAAUAUUCACUUUCCAAAUCAAAGAUGAAGGUAUGAAGCUUAAUUUCCAUUAACCUAGUCUACACUCUACAGAGGCAUUAUCAUGAUAGAAUCUAUGAUAGGAAUCAGUACUCUAUUUAAACUUGGAACAUAUUGCUGACAUGAUAACUAAUACUCCCUUCUUUGCAACUUAAGUGUCUUACUAUCUUUUUUGGUCUGUUCCAAAAAAGAGUCUCUUUUUAUAUCUUGUAAGUUUUCCAAUCCCAACACUCUACAAGGAGUUUAAGACCAAAAGAUUUAUAGGACUACACACAUAUUUAAAAGUCUCCCUUUAUUUCUUAAACCCCAUGUCUAGUCAAACUAUGACACUAAAAUUAGGACGGAGGGAAUAAAUAAACCACUAGACGGAAUCAAGUUGAUCAAACUGAACUAUCAGGAGUAGAACUUCCAAUGCUCUUAAAAAAAAUUGAAUCAAAAUGAAAAAAUUCUUUGUCUAAAGACUUGCACAGAAUUUGAUUCUUUAACUGGUGUACACUCAAGAUGUAAAAAACAUUUAUCUAUAGGUUAUACUAAUAUUAAACACUACAAUUUUUUCGUGUCAAGUCAAAAUCAAGACAAACAAAUUGAAACAAAAGGAGUUUUAAGAAAGAACAAGAUGAUUGAACCCCAGUAUGUAUACCUCCUUUUUAAGUGAAGAUUUGUCCAGUAUGUCUUGAAAUCUUCUAGCAAAUGCUUCAUUGACCUUAGCUACCUCAUCAGUGCCAACACUUCUCAAAGAUGGAAACAGAGUGGUGUUAAUCUCUGUCUCUCCAAAAGAAGUGUUACUGUACCAACCAUCAAAAGACAAAGUUCCAGCAAAAGCAAAAACAACAUCAGUAGACCGAUCUAUUUUCUUGUAAAUAUAAGGUAUCCCAGGUGAUAAUUUGUGAGCUUCCAUGGCUAAGUUACAAGCUUUCUUGAUUAGCUCUUCUCUGACUUCAAAUUCCUUCUUCCAAAUUUUUCACCAUUUUUUGCUUCUUAGCUGCUUAAAGAUUGCAACUUUACUGUUUAGUUUUCAAAAAUCUUUGAAGAAAGAUUGAGGAUGGAGAGAUGGAAUGAAGGUAAAGGGGAAAUGGGUAUUUAAGCUUUUGGUGAUUGGAUGAAAUGUAGAGGAAAUGAGUCAUUGACUUUUGAAGUCUUUGUUUUGCUUUGCUUGACUCUUGCCUGUGGAAAUUGAAUAGGAAGAUAAAUAGUAUCUAUCAAGGAAAUUUCCUACUAAUUGUUCUGCAAAAUGGUUAAUGUACGGACUCUUCAAAAAUGUUAUUUUUAUAGAAAUGAUUACUGUGGAAGGAUUUGAUAUGCACUCGCUUUUUAUUUGUCGUGAAUUCCCCUUUAUGUCUUCCAUAAGAACAAGAGGGAUGGGCUCUCCGCCAACACUUUUCAUAUACUUGUCGACAUUUUUAAAAGUUUGAACGACAUUGUAUAUUUUACUUUUAUUUUUGUUCUAGCUUGUUUCAAAAAAAUAUAUCAUAUUUCUAUUUUACUUUUUAAAAUAGUACUCCCUCCGUUUCACAAAGAAUGACCUUCUUUCCUUUUUAGUCAGUUUCAAAAAAAUGACCUCUUUCCUUUUUUGGUAACAUUUUACUUUUUGCUUUCCACGUGACAUGUUUAAGACCACAAGAUUAAGGACAAUUUUGUACAUUUAACAUAACUUUAAUUUAGGACCACAAGAUUCAAAAAUCUUCUUUAAUUUCUUAAACUUCAUGCCAAGUCAAACCAGACCAAUCUUUUUGAAACGGAGGGAGUACUUUAAUAUAAGCUAAUAUGUAAUGUUUAAGAAUACAAAUACUUUUAUUUUGUUAUGCACGUAUUUAAUUUAAGAGAACAAAAUUAAAAGAAUCUUUUUCUUUAUAUUCUACUCCCUCUGUCCCAUUUUAUGUGAGAUAGUUUGACUCGGCACGAAGUUUAAGAAAGAAAUGAAGACUUCUAAAAUUUGUGGUCCAAAAUGAAUGAUAGAAAUUUGUGUGGUUGAAGAAAGAUUGAGGAUGGAGAGAUGGAAUGAAGGUAAAGGGGAAAUGGGUAUUUAAGCUUUUGGUGAUUGGAUGAAAUGUAGAGGAAAUGAGUCUUUCAUAAGAGCAAGAGGGGUGGGCUCUCUACUAACACUUUUCAUAUAUUUGUCGACAUUUUUGAAAAGUCAUUUAAAAUGAAAUAGUAUAUUUUACUUUUAUUUUUGUUCUAGUUUGUUUCAAAAAAAUAUAUCAUAUUUCUAUUUUACUUUUAAUAAUAGUACUUUAAUAUAAGAUAAUAUGAUAUGUUUAAGAAUAUAGGUAUUUUUAUUUUGUUACACACGUAUUUAAUUUAAGAUAACAAAAUUAGAAGAAUUUUUUUCUUUAUAUUCUAAUUUUUAUGCACAUUACACAUCAAAUGCGACCGACACAUGGAAAGUGAAAAGGGGGGAGCAUAUUGGUGCUAUUAUAUUCUUUCUCUUGAUUAUAUAUUUUGAAAAGUUGGUACUUUCUUUGUUUUUUCUUUAAAAAAAUUUAUAAGAAAUAAAGGUUGGGAAGUUAGACAAGGCAACUCGUUUUGAAGAAAAAUAAAAUUUUGGGAAUGACAAUCAAAAUAUCUCGUGUUCACCUUGGAUCCAAAGAAGGGCCUAACCCGAGAUACAAAUAGAAUAGAAAAGCUACUUUGUUAUUGUCUCUAUUUGAUUAAGGUUUAUUAAAACUGUUUAGUGAUUAACGAGCAAAACAAACAAUUCUAAUAGACUAGAGUUUAGUUUUGCACAUUAUUAAAACUGCUUUAUGGACAAACUCCCUUUCACUAGUUCCUUGAAGGUGACUUGUAAAAAGCCCAUGGUUCAGCAGAAGUAUACUCUGUCACCUGCUUAAUGUUCAAGAAACUUUCAAGACCCCUGCAUCAAUGCACAAACGAUUAUCACUUAUCAGUCCGAUCAGAUCAGAUCAGAGGUAUCAAGUUUGUGCAUUGAAAAAUGAUACAUAGCUACUUAUCUGGCUGCUCUUAUUAGGGGCAUUGGAAUAUACGUGGUGGAAUGUUAUAGGUGUCUGUAAGUUGGCUCGGAUACCAUCUUUAUCAAGAUAUUAAGGCGCAAGGCGCUAAGGAGUUAUUUUCCUUGAUACCCAAGAUGUCUGUUUGUGCUGAGUAGGGAGUGUUUUCCACCAUUUGGUAUAGGUAGAUUCAGGGAAGAAAACAUCAUCGCCAAGAAGGCUACUCUGGAUCCAGCCAUUUGCAGCUGUUUCUAAACUCAGAAUCUUGUCUUGCACUUGUGCAAAUGGCUUGUUUCUUAGUUCCUCCACUUCUGCCCAGAAACAAGACUCGGAACGUGCACCAGCAUGCACUUUAUCAAAAUGCUCUAACCAUCUCUGUGUGAACCGAUAACGCUUAGGCCUACCCCUGAUCAAGUAAGGUCCACUAUCUUCAUUCUUCAAGUGCCUGUAAUAGUUUGCAAUAUCUAAGGGCUCAACUUGCCUGCGAAACUGUGUCCCUAGUUCUAUCCAGUCUUUUUGUCCCUCGAAGCUAUCUGGGAGCUCAUACCUUUUCAACAUUUCAAUGAUCUCAUUCCAUAUACCUGCUAGCUCAUGCCUUUUCACAUUAGCAUUGAAGUCAUCAUCAGUGUUUUGAAUCUUGAAU
rnacentral:lncRNA from 1 species